AACGAACGCUGGCGGCAUGCCUAACACAUGCGAGUCGAACGAGACCUUCGGGUCUAGUGGCGCACGGGUGCGUAACGCGUGGGAACCUGCCCUUAGGUUCGGAAUAACUCCCCGAAAGGGGUGCUAAUACCGGAUAAUGUCUUCGGACCAAAGAUUUAUCGCCUUUGGAUGGGCCCGCGUUGGAUUAGCUAGUUGGUAGGGUAAAAGCCUACCAAGGCGACGAUCAAUAGCUGGUCUGAGAGGAUGAUCAGCCACACUGGGACUGAGACACGGCCCAGACUCCUACGGGAGGCAGCAGUGGGGAAUAUUGGACAAUGGGCGAAAGCCUGAUCCAGCAAUGCCGCGUGAGUGAUGAAGGCCUUAGGGUUGUAAAGCUCUUUUACCCGGGAUGAUAAUGACAGUACCGGGAGAAUAAGCUCCGGCUAACUCCGUG
rnacentral:rRNA from 1 species